CAAUAGCGUAUAUUAAAGUUGUUGCAGUUAAAAAGCUCGUAGUUGGAUUUCUGGUGGGAGCGAUCGGUCUGGCGCUUAGCGCGAGUACUUGCAUCGUCUCCGGCCAUCCUUGGGGAGAGUCUGUCUGGCAUUAAGUUGUCGGGCAGAGGAUCCUCAUCGUUUACUGUGAAAAAAUUAGAGUGUUCAAAGCAGGCUUAUGCCGUUGAAUAUAUUAGCAUGGAAUAAUAAGAUAGGACUUUGGUACUAUUUUGUUGGUUUGCGCACCAAAGUAAUGAUUAAUAGGGACAAUUGGGGGUAUUCGUAUUCCGUUGUCAGAGGUGAAAUUCUUGGAUUUACGGAAGACGAACUACUGCGAAAGCAUUUACCAAGGAUGUUUUCAUUAA
rnacentral:rRNA from 1 species